GUGAAGCUCAGCUUGCUGGGUGGAUCAGUGGCGAACGGGUGAGUAACACGUGAGCAACCUGCCCUCCACUUCGGGAUAAGCCUUGGAAACGGGGUCUAAUACCGGAUAUGAGCGCCUGCCGCAUGGUGGGUGUUGGAAAGUUUUUCGGUGGGGGAUGGGCUCGCGGCCUAUCAGCUUGUUGGUGGGGUGAUGGCCUACCAAGGCUUCGACGGGUAGCCGGCCUGAGAGGGCGACCGGCCACACUGGGACUGAGACACGGCCCAGACUCCUACGGGAGGCAGCAGUGGGGAAUAUUGCACAAUGGGCGAAAGCCUGAUGCAGCGACGCCGCGUGAGGGAUGACGGCCUUCGGGUUGUAAACCUCUUUCAGCAGGGAAGAAGCGCAAGUGACGGUACCUGCAGAAGAAGCGCCGGCUAACUACGUGCCAGCAGCCGCGGUAAUACGUAGGGCGCAAGCGUUGUCCGGAAUUAUUGGGCGUAAAGAGCUCGUAGGCGGUUUGUCGCGUCUGGUGUGAAAUCCCGAGGCUCAACCUCGGGCUUGCAUCGGGUACGGGCAGACUAGAGUGCGGUAGGGGAGACUGGAAUUCCUGGUGUAGCGGUGGAAUGCGCAGAUAUCAGGAGGAACACCGAUGGCGAAGGCAGGUCUCUGGGCCGCAACUGACGCUGAGGAGCGAAAGCAUGGGGAGCGAACAGGAUUAGAUACCCUGGUAGUCCAUGCCGUAAACGUUGGGCACUAGGUGUGGGGCUCAUUCCACGAGUUCCGUGCCGCAGCUAACGCAUUAAGUGCCCCGCCUGGGGAGUACGGCCGCAAGGCUAAAACUCAAAGGAAUUGACGG
rnacentral:rRNA from 1 species